ensembl:snRNA U5 U5 spliceosomal RNA
GUACUCUGGUUUCUCUUCAGAUGUUAUAAAUCUUUUGCCUUUUACUUAAGAUUUCCAUGGAGAGAAACAAUUCCAAGUUUUUCAACUACUUUUUUUGAGGCCUUGUUUUGGCAGGGCU